ensembl:lncRNA
CCCCUGCACCAGAGAGUGAACCUGUGUCCCCUGCAUUGGCAGGCAGACUCAACCACUGGACCACCAGGGACAUCCAGAAAUGUUCAUUUUAAGACAGAGCACCUUUAAAACAGUUACUGUUUUUGUUUUGCUAUAAAAUGAGAAUGUGUUAUGCCUAGAAAUUUUGGAAAAUUUAGAAAAGUAAAAGAAAGCACAUCUUUCUAAAUGAGCGCUGAUGGUGUGUGUUUCAGGGCCCGACUUUUGCACUUUUUUCUGAAACAUAACCUAUCUGAUUUCCUCCUCUCUUUCUUGUGUGCUGUACUGUGGGGAAGUGAGGCACCUCUCCUGUACCUCAGACACGGUUGGGGUGUGUCUUCCCUCAGCCUGUAUGAAGAAGAUGUUAUCAAGUUUGUCCUGCAGGCAGGCCUGGCCCGUGAAGACCCUCACUACUGGAUGGCUCGGGGCACUUGCCACUCCAAAGAGUCAUCGCAUUCUCGAUUUUCACCGAAUUCCACUUCCUCUGUGACAACGCCUGCUUCACCAGGCUUUCUCUUUUGCAUUGAAUCCCUUUUUUGUUCCACCAGGCCCCAGUUUGCAUCACUUCCCCUCGGAUAUCUUCAGAUCUCUUACAUGUCAGUGAGUUUCAGUCUUAUGGUGACCGAACUCUGACUUGGCCCUAAGACUUUCUCUGGUGAAUGCCCCUUCUCUGAUGGGUCAACCCUGAGGGUCCUUGUGAGCAGAGUCCUGGUCACCUUCAUUCUGCUUCCUCCCAGCUUCCCUAAGAACACCUUCAUGCAGCCCAAGCCAGGACGCCUGGGCUCUGGAGUCAGACAAUGAUUUUUGCGGAUUUAAUUAAGGAUCUGAAGAUGAGAUCAUCCUUGAUGAAUGGGGCGAGCCCUAAAUCUGAUGACACAGAUUUCUGUAAGAAGAGGAAAAGAUAUCCAGACACAGAGGAGUAGGCCAUGUGAAGACAGGGACAGAUUGGGGUGAUACCUCUACAAGCCAAGAAACACCCCAGGAUUCCUGACAGCCACUAGAAGCUGGGAGAAAGAUCUAAACUACUGCGUAGUGCCUAACUUGUAAUAGAGAGACUUCAGUUUAAGUGUU